rnacentral:rRNA from 1 species
AUUGAACGCUGGCGGUAUGCUUAACACAUGCAAGUCGAACGGUAACAGGCCUUCGGGCGCUGACGAGUGGCGGACGGGUGCGUAACGCGUAGGAAUCUGCCGAUUAGUGGGGGACAACUUGGGGAAACUCAAGCUAAUACCGCAUACGCCCUACGGGGGAAAGCGGGGGACCUUCGGGCCUCGCGCUAACCGAUGAGCCUGCGUUGGAUUAGCUAGUUGGUAGGGUAAAGGCCUACCAAGGCGACGAUCCAUAGCUGGUCUGAGAGGACGAUCAGCCACACUGGGACUGAGACACGGCCCAGACUCCUACGGGAGGCGGCAGUGGGGAAUAUUGGACAAUGGGCGCAAGCCUGAUCCAGCAAUACCGCGUGUGUGAAGAAGGCCUGAGGGUUGUAAAGCACUUUCAAUAGGGAGGAAUAGCUAUCGGCCAAUACCCGGUAGUCUGACAUUACCUAUACAAGAAGCACCGGCUAACUCCGUGCCAGCCGCCGCAGUAAGAC